GCUACAGGCUAACACAUGCAAGUCGCGGGCGAGCAUGACGAUUGCUUGCAAUUGUUGAUGGCGACCGGCGCACGGGUGAGUAACGCGUAUCCAACCUUCCCCACUAGUAGGGUAUAGCCCGGCGAAAGUCGGAUUAAUCCCCUAUGUUGUUUGAAGCGGACAUCUAAUUCAAACCAAAGAUUCAUCGCUAUGGGGAUGGGGAUGCGUCUGAUUAGGUUGCAGGCGGGGUAACGGCCCACCUGGCCGACGAUCAGUAGGGGUUCUGAGAGGAAGGUCCCCCACAUUGGAACUGAGACACGGUCCAAACUCCUACGGGAGGCAGCAGUGAGGAAUAUUGGUCAAUGGACGGGAGUCUGAACCAGCCAAGUAGCCGUGCAGGAUGACGGCCCUAUGGGUUGUAAACUGCUUUUAUACGGGGAUAAAGUGAGCCACGUGUGGCUUUUUGUAGGUACCGUAUGAAUAAGGACCGGCUAAUUCCGUGCCAGCCGCCGC
rnacentral:rRNA from 1 species